rnacentral:snRNA from 1 species
GUUACCACUUCAGGAACACAUAACACUAAAAUCGGAACAGCACAGACAGUUAGCAUGGCUCCCAUGCAAGGGUGAUAUGAAAAUUAAUUACACGCUCCAUAGUUUC